rnacentral:rRNA from 1 species
UGAGCGGAUGAACUGAGGGUAGCGGAGAAAUUCCAAUCGAACCUGGAGAUAGCUGGUUCUCUCCGAAAUAGCUUUAGGGCUAGCCUCAAGUGAUGAUUAUUGGAGGUAGAGCACUGUUUGGACGAGGGGCCCCUCUCGGGUUACCGAAUUCAGACAAACUCCGAAUGCCAAUUAAUUUAACUUGGGAGUCAGAACAUGGGUGAUAAGGUCCGUGUUCGAAAGGGAAACAGCCCAGACCACCAGCUAAGGUCCCAAAAUAUAUGUUAAGUGGAAAAGGAUGUGGCGUUGCCCAGACAACUAGGAUGUUGGCUUAGAAGCAGCCAUCAUUUAAAGAGUGCGUAAUAGCUCACUAGUCGAGUGACACUGCGCCGAAAAUGUACCGGGGCUAAACAUAUUACCGAAGCUGUGGAUUGUCCUUUGGACAAUGGUAGGAGAGCGUUCUAAGGGCGUUGAAGCAUGAUCGUAAGGACAUGUGGAGCGCUUAGAAGUGAGAAUGCCGGUGUGAGUAGCGAAAGACGGGUGAGAAUCCCGUCCACCGAUUGACUAAGGUUUCCAGAGGAAGGCUCGUCCGCUCUGGGUUAGUCGGGUCCUAAGCUGAGGCCGACAGGCGUAGGCGAUGGAUAACAGGUUGAUAUUCCUGUACCACCUAUAAUCGUUUUAAUCGAUGGGGGGACGCAGUAGGAUAGGCGAAGCGUGCGAUUGGAUUGCACGUCUAAGCAGUAAGGCUGAGUAUUAGGCAAAUCCGGUACUCGUUAAGGCUGAGC